UACGGAGGUGGCAAGCGUUGUUCGGAUUUACUGGGUGUAAAGGUUAUGUAGGUGUCUCGUUAAGUCGGAUGUGAAAUCCUAUGGCUCAACCAUAGAACUGCAUUCGAUACUGGCGGGAUCGAGUACGAGAGAGGAAAGCGGAAUUCCAGAAGUAAGGGUGAAAUCUGUAGAUAUCUGGAAGAACACCAUUAGCGCAGGCGGCUUUCUGGCUCGAUACUGACACUGAAAUAAGAAAGCUAGGGGAGCAAACAGG
rnacentral:rRNA from 1 species